rnacentral:rRNA from 1 species
UACAGAGGUCUCAAGCGUUGUUCGGAUUCAUUGGGCGUAAAGGGUGCGUAGGCGGCGCGGUAAGUCGGGUGUGAAAUCUUGGAGCUUAACUCCGAAACUGCAUUCGAUACUGCCGUGCUUGAGGACUGGAGAGGAGACUGGAAUUUCCGGUGUAGCGGUGAAAUGCGUAGAGAUCGGAAGGAACGUCGAUGGCGAAGGCAGCCACCUGGCAUCAUACUGACGCUGAGGCGCGAAAGCGUGGGGAGCGAACAGG